ensembl:lncRNA
GUGUGUGUAUCAUUGUGAGUUUUGGUUCUUUUGCUGUUGUAGGCUGUCAGGACCUUCAAAAUAACUGAAAUCAUUUGGCAAAGUGAUAUGGACAUGUAAUGCUGAUAAGACCUGCCUGGAACUACUUUAGACGUGCGUUUCCCUGAAAAUAACUGCACACCUUAGAAUGUUCGUUCUAAUUUUAUAUUAUUAUUAUUAUUAUUAUUAUUAUUAUUAUUAUUAUUAUUAUUAUUAUUAUUAUUUUUGUUAAUGUUUUGAUUUCAUUCAGUUUACUGCUUAGGACAAAUUAAUUCAACCUAGAUGAUAGUAUAAAAUUAUUGCAUAUAUUUUACAGAUGACCGAGCGCUUGCAGGUUUUACUUAGUGCAGAUCUGUCAGAUUCAGCUGAAGCAGUCAAGCAUGCUCUUGUUGCUCUGGCACAAUUUAGUGCCAACACACCUGAAUCUACUUACCAGACACUUCUCCGAGCCUUCAUUAGCAGACUCAGGUGUGUUUGUGUCAGACGGGGCACUCAGUAAAUCUGAAUAUGCUGUCACUCCAUGCGGAGAAGAUCACUGGCCCCUGGUGCUUGAGGUGUAGGCCUCUGUGGUGAAUCUUGUAAUCGUUUCAGACGAGCUGUCAGGAGUCGAGGAGUGGAUCCGUCCAAGACAUUAGCACAAGCAUUCAUCAGCCACUUAAUUUACACCUGUUUCUGCUGCGUAAGACAGACAGCCAAGAAACACAGUGUCACAUCAAUCUUCCUGUUGGCUGACUUAAGUGUCCCUGUGAGCCAGAGGAACAUCUCUUCUCCUUUCCUCCCUCCAGCAGUGUCUUCACUGAAAAUAAACCACAUCGCCCCAAACGAGGCCCCUGCUGUUACUGACGAUACUGAUCUCGCUGAAACAGAGAAAAUGUUAAGUGGAUUACCCCAGUUUGCCUGUCUGAACAUGAGGACAAACACGGGGCUCUUCUCUGGGCUGGAAAGUACACGACUAAUUGCCUGCAAUACGACAGGGCUGGUACCCCACUGGCAUCACCCCCUCAGUGACUGUAUGGACCCCCUUUUGAGUUGCAUCACACUCCAUUGGCCAACUUAGCCUUGACGAAGCCAUCCGCUGGAAACGGGCCACUCGAGGCACUGACGACUGCUUCAUUCCCAGCGCGGCUUCAUUUUCAGUGAGAAUCCGAGUGUGUGUGUAGGAGGGAAGCAACCUGGCAAUCUGCAUGAAGGAUUGCCUGAAGAACAGCAUUGGGGAGGACAAGGUCUACCUUCAUUUGACGUGUGUUCCACUCGGUUAUCGAUUUUUAUAAAGUUACGUAACUGAAGAAAAGACUACAUGGAUUUAAUUUUUUUUUUUUUUUCCUGCUUCAUCUGCUUUAAGACACCUGGUUUGGGGUUGCUAGGUAACACAUUGUACCGGGAUGUUUGAUGUGUGUGUGCUCUUUGCAACUUGCUUUGAUCCCCUAGACACUGACAGUCUCAUCCUCAGAAUUGCCUUCUCUGGGUGCAUUUGGCACUUCAUCUUUCUGUGGAGGUAACUACACUUGAAAGCUGAAAGUGUGAUAAAAUAACUACCUUGUUAGGCUGGGAAAGAAGGGAAAAGCAUAUAGGAAAAAGGAAGUUUGUUUGUGAACAGUGUAGAUGCUCAUUAAUAAAGCACAUGGACUGUCACUGUGCCA